ACAUGCCUACAACAUAACAUUAAUGCACCAAAUCCCAUUAUAAAUCUUCAUUUAAGCAUGCUCAUGCUAAAGUAGUACUGGGAUGCAUUACUUCCUAGGAAAUCCGAGUGUUUUACAUGCC
rnacentral:rRNA from 1 species